GGCAGAGGGUGGCAGCCAAUCGGAGGCUGGACAGCUGUCACGUGAAAAGCUCGACCAAUGAAAUGGCGCUAUUUUCCCAUAGUGUUUGCGAAGAUUUUUGGCCCGUCAACUGAAUUUGCAUUGGACACAGAAGCACUCAAAAAAUAUAUAUAAAUAUUAAAAUUUUUCUAUCAAAAUGCAACCGUGGCCUUAGUAUUAUAAAAGGACUGGCGAUAUGUGCAAGAAUUUCUGAGGUAAACGUUAUUUUUUAACCUGUUUUCGAUGAUUAAAGUUGGUCAUGUGGCAACGUGAUGACUCAAGUCCGAUUCUGUUUACAACUUUCAAACUAAAAAAUCUGGAUUUCCCAUGGUUCGAUUUUCGUAAUUUGUGCAAAAAAAUUCAAGACAAAUGUCUAAACUAAAAAUCUGCUGGAGGGAUCCCCGAGAUCCGCUGCAGAUUUCGAGAUAUUUGGCAUUGAAGUGACCAUACUCAUUUCAACCUUUGCCAAAGUGGCGUCUAAAUAUCUGGGGAAGGUAUUGCCACAGAGGAAGUAUAUAUAUUUUUACUCUUUGGUAUUGCGCCACCAAAGCUUGGUUUUCACAAUGAAUUUUGAAAGUUCCCUAAUAUUAGGAUAAUUUUUCUUUACAGUAAGUGUUUAACUACUUUUGAAAGACUAUUUAGAAAACUUUGGGAGUUAUUUGCCUGUUUUUACAGAUUUGUAGUAACAAUGCAUUAAUACAGUUAUCGUGUUAAUAAUUUUACAGUCAAAUUUCCGUUUUGUUGUUUUUAUUCUUGUACUGUAUAAAUUUUAUAUAAAAUACACUGAACAAAGUUAUCGCGCCAUUUGAUCCUAUUGUGUGUGUAUAUGUACUGUGUCACUGUGAUACAUAUGUACAUGUUUUGAGUUAAACGAAUUGUUUAAUACAUUUUUGCUGAAAUAUCAUGCCUGUUUGUAUGGAUAGAUUUUACAUAUAUGUGACUGCAUACAAUAGUUAGAUAUUUUUUCAAUUUUCAUCUGUAAAAUAUUGCCAUAUUUGUGUGUUGUUCUAGUAUUACUGUAAAUGGUGACACACUUUUGCAUUGGAUUGCUAAUUUUAGAGAUUACAGUGUAUGUAUAAAAUAAUAAAAUAGAAAAUUUCUUGUUAUGAUUUUGUAGAUGGUCAUGAUGGAUAUGGUAAUNNNNNNNNNNNNNNNNNNNNUAAAUGACGUCACAUCCGGCUAAGAAAUCAACAUCUCGCUAAUUGGCAACUCAGUAGUGGCGGCCGAAAAAUUUGCAUGUUUGCGUUGAAAAAAAAGGCAGAAGGAAAUGGAAUUGGACGCUGAUAUUUGGUAAUUUUGUUUAUCUACUGACAUACUUUCUGAAUAUACAAUAAAAAGACAACACAAUUUUCCAUCGCAGUGGCACUUUAAACGAAUUGUUUAAUACAUUUUUGCUGAAAUAUCAUGCCUGUUUGUAUGGAUAGAUUUUACAUAUAUGUGACUGCAUACAAUAGUUAGAUAUUUUUCAAUUUUCAUCUGUAAAAUAUUGCCAUAUUUGUGUGUUGUUCUAGUAUUACUGUAAAUGGUGACACACUUUUGCAUUGGAUUGCUAAUUUUAGAGAUUACAGUGUAUGUAUAAAAUAAUAAAAUAGAAAAUUUCUUGUUAUGAUUUUGUAGAUGGCCAUGAUGGAUAUGGUAAUGAACUAAUGAAGGUGAUAAGGCAGAAAGUGAUGACCAGUUAAGUUAUGAGGAUUAAAGUGACGAGGAUGAAAUCACCCAUACUGUACCAUUCAAGUGAAUCGGUGCUGCUCAUGAGAAAAAUUACCGACAUCAUUUGGAACAGGCAUGCCUUGCUCGUCAUGGACAAGAUAAACCAAUGAAUGUAAGAAUACAGUCAGAGCCAUUGAAUCCAAUGGACCCAAGUGCAAUUGAUGUAGACUAUGGAACUGGGUGGACACAUGUGAUGUUGGCUAUAUUGCUUCUGAAUUAUGCAAGUAUUUGCACCCACUAAUUGCCGCAGGAGAUAUCUUAGAGGUCUAUGUUCAGUAUAUAAAGUAUAGGGUUGACUUUUUUUAAAUAGGAUUUUAUCUAAAAUUUUUCAUAAAGUGACAUGGUCAGUGGCCAGAGUGGGAGACUCAAGUGGUAAAGAGGAGCAUGAGUGUAUGUUGACAGAUGUUUGUGAUAUAAUAGUAACUGACUAGGUUUAGCAAGUUAUACAGCAGAAAUGAUGUUAUUUAAAUUAUCAUUUUGGCCAACUUUUUAGAUUUUUUCAACAUUUUUACCUUUCACUUUAUCGCCAAACAAAAAUAAUUUAAUUUACUGUUGAUGCAAUGGAAGUGUUGAUAAAAUAUUGCAUGAAUUCAUUUCGUCAAGUUGAUAAAUUCAUACGAAUUCUAAUUUCUUUUUACUUCCUGUGUGUUUCCUAUUGGUCAAUCGGUUCUGAAACGAAAUCUAAUUGGCUCAUUUAAAAGUAACAGGAAGUUUAUCAAUUUUCUAUCAAAUGAAUUGAUGAACUUGAGGAAGGAAUUGGUGCAAUAUUUUAUCAACACUUCCAUUGCAUUGACAGUAAGCAGGUGGGUAUCUAUAAGAAAACAAUAUCUGUCAUGUGCACUUGUGCAACUCCCUCAAAAAUAGCAAUAUUGGGUUUUUUUUAAAAAUAAUAAUUUAUUAUUAGGACACCAAUAUGGUUCUCAUUAAAAAACCAUGUGCUAUAAAUAAAUGCAUCUACCUAUUUCGAGACUGAAUAU
rnacentral:lncRNA from 1 species